GGGCCCGUGGUUUAGUGGUAUAACGUCGCAUUUACACUGCGAAGGCUGCCGGUUCGAUUCCGGCCGGGCCCA
rnacentral:tRNA from 1 species